rnacentral:rRNA from 1 species
UACAGAGGGGGCAAGCGUUGUUCGGAAUUACUGGGCGUAAAGGGCGCGUAGGCGGCCGUUUGCGUCGGAUGUGAAAGCCCGGGGCUCAACCCCGGAACGGCAUCCGAUACGGGACGGCUGGAGACCGGGAGAGGAGGGUGGAAUAGCCAGUGUAGAGGUGAAAUUCGUAGAUAUUGGCUGGAACACCGGUGGCGAAAGCGGCUCUCUGGCCCGGUUCUGACGCUGAGGCGCGAAAGCGUGGGGAGCAAACAGG